rnacentral:rRNA from 1 species
GACGAACGCUGGCGGCGUGCCUAACACAUGCAAGUCGAGCCGGGAGAAGAGUUCGUUUUUCUCUUUAGCGGCGGACGGGUGAGUAACACGUGGGUAACCUGCCUCAAAGAGGGGGAUAGCCUUCCGAAAGGAAGAUUAAUACCGCAUAAUAUCAGGAAGCUGCAUGGCAUUCUGAUUAAAGGAGCAAUCCGCUUUGAGAUGGACCCGCGGCGCAUUAGCUAGUUGGUGAGGUAACGGCCCACCAAGGCGACGAUGCGUAGCCGACCUGAGAGGGUGAUCGGCCAAAGUGGAACGGAGACACGGUCCAGACUCCUACGGGAGGCAGCAGUGGGGAAUAUUGCACAAUGGGGGAAACCCUGAUGCAGCAACGCCGCGUGAGUGAUGAAGGCCUUCGGGUCGUAAAGCUCUUUGAUCAGGGACGAUAAUGACGGUACCUGAAAAACAAGCCACGGCUAACUACGUGCCAGCAGCCGCAGUAAUAC